UACAGAGGUCUCAAGCGUUGUUCGGAUUCAUUGGGCGUAAAGGGCGCGUAGGCGGCGGGGUCAGUCGGGUGUGAAAUCUUGGGGCUUAACCCCGAAACGGCACUCGAAACUGCCCGGCUGGAGGGCCGGAGAGGAGAUCGGAAUUCACGGUGUAGCAGUGAAAUGCGUAGAGAUCGUGAGGAAGACCCGUGGCGAAGGCGGAUCUCUGGACAUUUCCUGACGCUGAGGCACGAAAGCCAGGGGAGCAAACGGG
rnacentral:rRNA from 1 species